UACGUAGGGGGCUAGCGUUGUCCGGAAUCAUUGGGCGUAAAGAGCGUGUAGGCGGUCCGGUAAGUCCGUUGUGAAAGUCGAGGGCUCAACCCUUGAAUGCCGGCGGAUACUGUCGGGCUAGAGUCCGGAAGAGGCGAGUGGAAUUCCCGGUGUAGCGGUGAAAUGCGCAGAUAUCGGGAGGAACACCUAUGGCGAAGGCAGCUCGCUGGGACGGUACUGACGCUGAGACGCGAAAGCGUGGGGAGCAAACAGG
rnacentral:rRNA from 1 species